ACCUAUCAUACUACUACGACUGACCCUGUAAAACAACACCUAUCAUACUAAUAUGACUGACCCUGUAAAACAACACCCUAUCAUACUACUGGGCUGACCCUGUAAAACUAUGACUGACCCUGUUAAACAACACCUAUCAUACUACUGGGACUGACCCUGUAAACUAUGACUGACCUGUUAAACAACACCUAUCAUACGACUAUGACUGACCCUGUAAAACUAGAAUGACCCUGUACAACAACACUAUCUAUACUAUGACUGACCCUGUACAACAACACCUAUCAUAUUGAUGUCAUGUGACCGUUGUCUCUCUCUCUUGUUUUUAUCCAACGAGACUAACCUGGUUGAAUAAAGGUUCAAACCAAUCAAAAAUAUGACCUGUUAGGUAGUUGACAUGGCUGCCAGACAGAGAUCGGUGAUGCUGCCCAGCCAGGGCCAUGGUGGAGGCGUUUCACUCAGGUUGUCCUCAUGGGAUGUCACGUGACUCCCGUGGCACUCAGACUGCCGUCAUGCCCCCCACGCUACCUUCUCCGAUGCUGGGGUUGUUCUCGUGUCCGCCACAGAGGUCGUGUCUGAGAGACAGGGGAGAGAGCAGGAGUUCAUCAGAGCCGCUCUAUAAACUAAAAGACGAGCUCUUUCUCUUGUUGGUUCUCUCCCUUCUCGGCCUCGUCUUAUCUAGAAGGUCUGUAACAAGGUCUUUCUGUUGGUUCUCUCCCUCCUACGGCCUCGCCUUAUCUAGAAGGUCUGUAACAAGGUCUUUCUCGUUGGUUCUCUCCUCCUACGGCCUCGUCUUAUCUAGAAGGUCUGUAACAAGGUCUUUCUCUGUUGGUUCUCUCCCUCCUACGGCCUCGUCUUUUCUAGAAGGUCUGUAA
ensembl:lncRNA